GGCUUUGUUGGUCACAAAGUUGGUUUCACCAGACAUAGCAAGCGUUUCUUUCUUUUUUAUACUUAAUUUCUGAAACCUUGCAGCUAAAAUGAUGGAAUUAGACGACAAAACUGUGGCUGGUGUAGAGUUGUGUUUGUCUUCGCUACACAACUGUGUUCCGGCAUCAGACGUAGUCCGUACAAUCAUCAGCCGCUGUUAAAUUUCUGUUUUUAAUCUGCAGCCUGACGCUCCACUCAAAACUCACAAACGGGUCUCAUUAUGGCGGCUGAGUGAGCGUGAAGCUCGCGACAAACAGCCCCCUCUUCUGUCCAGGAGGAAACUCUGGCUCCAACUUAAAUUGUAAUUGAAGGGGAGACACAGUCCAGCACCUGCUGACACAGGAACAAGCAACAGACGAAAGGUUAAGUGUUGCACCCAAAUUAUACAGUUUAAUUGUGUUAAAUCAAACUAUCCUCUCACUAGAAUAGCAGAUUUCACAGUGACCGGAGUUUACUGAGCAUGUAGACCAACUCACUGUUUGUUUAAUGUGUUUUUUCCCACAUGCCUAAACAGUGUUGGUGAUGUAUUGUGUGUUUCUAUCUUCUCCCUGUCUAUCAUAUUUGUUUGUUGACUGCAGUAAGCUUUAUCAACCUGAGAACAAGAAGAUGCCCGUUCAAGAGGGUUGCUUGUUGAAGGGUCAGCGGUCUACUUUGCCUUUUUCUUGUGGCUCAUAACAUAGUGAUCUGAUCAUUACAGGUUUAGCUGCGUCUUUUUAAGGCACGUGUAAUAUCUAAACUUGAUCUUGUCGUCUCCUUGUGAUUUUACAACUGGCUACGAGAGGCGCAGCACUUUGUUGAGCCAUAGCUAACUUUCAGGAAGUGAGCCUCUCCCCUUCCUGCCAUUCGAUCAGCCCAAUGCUCUCCACACACUUAACUCGGCUCCAAGCCUGCAGAGUCGAAAGACUUCUAAUUUGAUAAUGCAGCUGUAACUGGUAUUAGCAGACCCCAGUAAGCUUUGCAAUUUAAAGGAAAUGAGUUGCCCACACGUACGAAUCCACUGAGCAUCCUUUGCAUUGGCCUCUAGAACAAUGAGCAAGGCUUUUACUAUAAAAGGAGAGACAAGGCUGUUGACGUUUUUUUUGAAAAUGGUGUGCGUAUACAACCACAUCCUGCCCUGAGUGGGAGAUGGCAUGAGCAAUGAAUGCCACAAAAGACUGACUGCUGUGAAAAUGGCCUACCUCAGAUUGAGGUACACUUUUUCUAGUUAGUUCUUGUUACUAUCAGAUCCCCAAAUGUCCAAUUUAGGUGCGAUCUUUCUAAAAACCUGGUCAAUAGUGUAUAACUGCAGGAAGAUCUCUGCAACAGUGCAGGGAGGGAUGUGUAACUUCCCCCUUCGAACACCGAUCAUUUUUUCGACUGGGCGUGCACAACUCUCGUGCACGCCCAUCUCUCUAUCGUUGCAUUUGAAAGGAAUCACAACAAUCCAUGUGUUUGAGGGCCACAGUGUUGCUGCAGAAACACUUUUUAUACGGGAAAAGUGUCCAAAUCACUUCAAAUCUCUUUGUGUGCAUCUCAUUGCACUUUUGCUGUGUCUUCUGCGUGACCCAAAGAAACCGUAGGUCCCAGAAAGAAGUAUCCUCAUAAAUCAGGUGGUCUUUCUAGAACAUCUGCUGUCCACAGAUUGCACAAUGACAGACUGCUGCUAAGUGAGGUGGAACCCAGUACAAGCAGGGAGACAUACCUUAGGGGAUUCAGGCUGUCUGCCAGAUCACACAAAGACUUUAGUCCCUCAACAUGACGGGUGUAACGGGUUCGGGUGUGUCCAACGCAGGCUCAGGCCCCAGCUGGACACCUCCCGCUCUCGUCUCAUUAAUAAUGCAGCAGCUGUACCCCGCUGGGAGGGCGGCAAUGAUGGGGAAGAACCAGACAUCUCAAGAGGCUUGAUGGGUAGCUCGUCAUUAUUUAUUAAUGGGCUUGCCUGGUCAGAGACAUUACAGUGGCCCCUUUAAUCUGUCAUGGUCUCAGACAAAGGCCUUACUGUAUGCAGUGACCACUCUGCUGCAGCGCUGAUGACGAUGCCUCAAAGAAGUGACGUUGCAUCGGCCGCUUUGCUGUGAGCUGGACCCCGGUGCAGCGUCAAAGGACAAGACUACCCUCUGUGUGUUCUUUUACUUCCAUUUCUUCAAAUCUGUGGUUAGCUUAGGGUGGACUUCCCCUGUGCACUUCCCGUAUCAAAAUCCACAUCCCCUUUACACAGUCUCUUUUUAUUGAGUUCCUUUUAAGACGAUGCUGUUAAAGAUUUUAAACAAAAUGAUCCAUCUUUACAAGGCUGUUACCUUUCUCUUCUGUCAGUUGCUCCACUUUGCUAAUCAUGUUUGCUUCUUUCUAGUUUUGUAGUCAAAGCCACAAAUUACUCAAGCAGCUCCGGCAUUCCGGGAGCCCGUGUGUGCUUUUCUCAGUAUAAUUUCAAACAUACUUAUCGUACUCUGUGUACUUCAGCUGCACGUUGCAUUGUUCUUUGAUGUCCACAGUGCCUCAAUCUGACAUUUGACCUUUCAAAGUGGCAGAAACCCCGGGUCAGCAGACGUGCCCUUUAUUCUUUUUUUUUUAACAGGGGAGGUUUUAUGCUUGGUAUAAUUAUGCAACUAUGUGCCCCAAGAGGAGAACUUAUCUCACCUUAGUGCAGCAAUCACAUAAAGUGCAUGUCUAACAGAUAAGACAUGGUGCGCCAUCACUUUAACUCAGACCAUGUGUGCUCAUGGGUGUUUUAAUGUGCCUGCACUAAUGUGGAGAUUACAGGCUCCUGAUGGUACAUGUCGAAAUGACUGUGCUGUUAUUACAUACUUGUGCGGUGCUUCAGCAAGACGAGAACAAGCAGUUUUCAUUUCCUGUUUCUAGCAGGAAUGAGCUUUGUGUUUAGUGCUGCAGGGAAACAACAUGCAGGGGUAAGAGACUCUAAAGGGAUGCCCUUUUCAACUGCAGUAAUUAACUGUAUUAAAUAUACAUUAUUUUACUUUAAGAUGAGAGUGCACUGUAGGUUUCUUGGUGUAAAGGUUUACUAUAUUCAGGUACAUUAUGACAUAUUCCCCGAUAACGAUGUUGAUAAAAAGGCAGACCUCUGCAGACAUGUAAAAGGCUUGUAUGUUAAAUCUAGGUUCCUCUGUAGCGGUGUAUAACAGGAAGUAGAAACAAGUCUGCCACAAAAGGAAGAGAGAAAAUGUCACAGAGAAGUCGGAAGUUACAGUUCAACCAAGCACUCACGCACACACACACACACACACACACACACGCACACACACACACACACACACACACACACACACACACACACACACACACAUCUUAAAGUGCUUAUCCAUAGUAGGUCUAAUCACACCCAAUCUGAAUGCCAUAUCGUUAGAUGUCUGGUUUCACAACAUGUUUUGCAGAAUAAUGCUACAUGGUUUGUGGGCUUUCAUGGAAUUAGCACAACUGUAAACACAGGGGCGACACAAAAGAUUAACCUGUAAGAUCCCUGAGUUGGGCCAAUAUUCUGCAACAUCCAGUCGGGACAUGCUGAUCAGGGGAAUUGAUGGACUGAUAUCUGAGCACAUUCCUCAGACAAUUCUCAACAAGCUGCCCUAGUGGACGUGGUAGCAAAACAUUACAAACACUGAAACAUUCAGGGCAAGUUAAAUGCAUUUGCAUUAGUAGUUCUGAACAGAUCCAAACAUGAAUCCUGUUGUUCUAAGCAAUGUGCACAAGCGGUUCCUCGGGAGCAGUGUGAAGUCUUGGGACACACACAACGUGGUCCUGAUGACCAUUUUCUUCAUUUAAAAAGUUUUUUUUGUAUAUUGUUGUUUUAUAUAUAUAUAAAUCAUCUGUUAACUUGUGCUUGAAAUGAUGAACAUGUUACUCGCCCAGUUCAUUUGAUUAAAAGUUUGCUUCGACAGUACAGCGCUGCGGCUCUCUAACCACAUCCUGUUACACACCUUUGGGACCCGCUUCAGACAAAUUCACAAAGAAGCUUCUGACACUUACAGCGACAAAGUAGUUUGAGGUGAGAGGUGAAGAAUUUGAUGUACUAAUGAAAAUUAUCAUUUAUUUUCCUGUCUAAAGUCGUAUUGCAUGACUGAUAUAAAAUGGGCGCUUUGGUUCUCUGUGUCCAAUGACAAUGCAAUGAUGUGUCAAUCAUGUAAUAUUAACCAUGUGACAAAACUGGAGUGAUGUUUUAUUUAGUUGUGGUCUUUCUUUUGUUCCUUCUUGUCUUUCUUUUUGUUACUUGUUUCAGAUAGUGACAUAGUAUGAACUGCAGUGGUAAACAAAGGCUCGGUCGAAAAGGACACAACAGAAUAAACACCUCCAGUAUAAUGGAGAAGGCCCUGGUUUGUUCUGCGAAGUCACCAUCACCAUGUUGUCAUGAAACUGUGUAUCUGUAGCGGUUGUGUUCAUUCAUUUAUACCAAGCUGUUCGGGUCAAAUGCCAAUGAAAGAACUACUGAGAGAUUCUUUACAGCCCAAUACAAAAAAAUGGAUGGAUAUCAAUUUGUGGAUGAAUAUAUCCCUUGAUGGCUCAUCGCCAGCAUUAGAUGUCAGAUAUUUCACUCAACUUACCCAUCAAAUAUGUUGUU